UCACUAGAGAAACUUCAGUUCAAAAUCACGAGAGAAUAUUUAGCAUGUUCGACCUGGCAAUAAAUACGCGAUGCACAUGCCCUGCAUGAUGAGAUAUACCUGGAGCUGAGCUUCUCUUCUAUGGCCAUCAAUGGGCCAGACCAAUCUGGGGAUGUCACAACAAAGUGUUGAGCAUAGGAGGCUUGGCAGUGGGAGAGCUAGCUUGCAAAUCUCAGCCAUGGUCCAUGAGGGGAAGGUAAGUAGAAGAUUAACAAAAGGUAAACAUACUGUCGGCAUAUGACCAAAUGCACGAUACUUAAAGCAAGGCUGAUGAACUAGAAAGUAUGUUGCGGAACUGAAACUAACUAUACAAUCAGCAAUCCUAGCUUCGUUUCUAUGUGUGAACAAGUAGUUGUUGUGGCCUGGACAGAGGACAUGGGAGAGCUAGAUUACAAAUCUGAGCCAUGGUCCAUGAGAGGAAGGUAAGUGGAUGAUUCACCAAACGUAGACAUCCACCAUGUGUGUGCCCCGAAAGCAGCAGAAGUUUGGCCCCAACCCCAUCAACUUGAUCAUCGAUGUGCUCAACACAGGUAUGUGAUAAUCCAAGCCCUAUGCACCUUCUCUAUCCUAUUCCAAUCAUCGUAAACCAGUCUGCUUCCUUCAUGUGUUCUGUUGGGCGGCGAUGAAGUCUGGGUAUUUGAAGAAUUUUUUUCUUUUGCUGAAUUUUCAACCGCAGUGGAUGCGUACAUUGAUUUUAUAUCAUAAGAAUUAUCAUGUUCUUGGCUCUAUCAACUUGCAAGAAAAAAAUGUUAUGCAUGGCAGACAUAUGUAUCAAUCUUGGUGUUCUGCUUCUACUAUUUGCAUACAAGCAGCUAUGUAUGUGACCUAACUCAUGUGCUACUUACGGAAAAUGAUUUUUAUCUCAGGAAGAUCGAAGUCAUUCUCUUGAACAAGACACCAUUCAGGUAGCCAAUAUAUUUACACUAAAUUCCCUUCCAUGUUGCUACUUGCAUACCAAAGGUUGAAGAUCAGCUCAUAAGCAGCAUCCAUAUCAGAAAGUUAUGCUGAAUUUCUUCUAGGGUGUGAUAGAUUUUCUCAAAAGCUUUGCAAUGAUGGAUGAUAAGGAGCUGUUUAUGUGCAUUUAAUUAUGCAAUGACCUAUGUUCUGAAAUAGAUAUAGCUUCAAAUCUGAGACCUGCCAUAAGAAAUAAUCCAAGGUAUGAACAGUUCAUUCAGUAAAACAGCAGAGCCAAUGUUUUAUUACUGAGAGCGAGAUUUAAUUAAUUGAUGGAUGCAGUGACAUAUUAUAUCUGAAGUUAUUUCUUUUUAGGUGUAUAUCUCAAGUUAUCCUGAGAGUUCAUGUUUGAUGCUGACCAAGGAGUUUGCUCUCUCAAAGUAUAGUAUACUCAUGUAGGCUGUUUUUAUAUGUUGUUCUUGCAUAAUGAGCUGUAUGCAUCCUCUCUUUGCCAACGUUAGCUAGGUUCCAUGAGGGUGUCUUUAUAUGUUAGGAUUCUGAUUACUAAGAACCAUCAUACAGUUGCACUUAUAUUAAUGUAUGGUCCAUGGUAUGAGCGCAUCCUAUCUUUAUAUUAAAUUACUUAGAUUUUAUAUAAAAAUACAACCUUUCUCUGAGGUGAUGUAGGAAAUUUUGCAACUGAUACUAAAAUAUGGUUACUUUUUUUCACUUAGGACACUGGCGUUUUUGUGGAGCUAGAGGCCGCUUCUAAGUCAAACUUGGUUAUGUUUGACCAACUAUAUAGGAAAAUGUGAUAAGAACUAAUACAAUCCCAAAUACCCAUAAUACAAAAAUACAUUUCAUAAUAGAUAUCAUGAGACAAAUUUGGUGUUCAAGAUGAUUAUAUAUUUUUCCUGACCAUUAAUGUUAAAUAUUGAUGGUCAAGAUUUAAGGAUGUAAGGUUACAUGCAAAUAUUGUAAUGAACAAAGAGUGCAACACGUGACGUACAAAUAGAAUGGAAUAUAUUCCCGUCUAAGUGGAUGCGAUGUACCAGUCCAGAG